rnacentral:rRNA from 1 species
UACAGAGGUGGCAAGCGUUGUUCGGAAUUACUGGGCGUAAAGGGCGCGUAGGCGGCCGCCUAAGUCAGACGUGAAAUCCCCAAGCUUAACUUGGGAACUGCGUCUGAUACUGGGUGGCUUGAGUUCGGGAGAGGAAUGUGGAAUUCCAGGUGUAGCGGUGAAAUGCGUAGAUAUCUGGAGGAACACCGGUGGCGAAGGCGGCAUUCUGGACUACAACUGACACUGAGGAACGAAAGCCAGGGGAGCAAACGGG